GAUCCUGGCUCAGGAUGAACGCUGGCGGCGUGCUUAACACAUGCAAGUCGAACGGGAGUUUACAUGUGAGCGGAGGGUGCUUGCAUCUAACAGUCUUUUGUAAACUUAGUGGCGGACGGGUGAGUAACGCGUGGGUAACCUGCCGUAUACAGGGGGACAACAGUUGGAAACGACUGCUAAUACCGCAUAAGCGCACAGGACCGCAUGGUCUGGUGUGAAAAACUCCGGUGGUAUACGAUGGACCCGCGUCUGAUUAGCUAGUUGGUGAGGUAACGGCCCACCAAGGCGACGAUCAGUAGCCGGCCUGAGAGGGUGAACGGCCACAUUGGGACUGAGACACGGCCCAAACUCCUACGGGAGGCAGCAGUGGGGAAUAUUGCACAAUGGGGGAAACCCUGAUGCAGCGACGCCGCGUGAGUGAAGAAGUAUUUCGGUAUGUAAAGCUCUAUCAGCAAGGAAGAAAAUGACGGUACUUGACUAAGAAGCCCCGGCUAACUACGUG
rnacentral:rRNA from 1 species